GAUGAACGCUGGCGGCGUGCCUAAUACAUGCAAGUCGAGCGAACGGACGAGAAGCUUGCUCCUCUGAUGUUAGCGGCGGACGGGUGAGUAACACGUGGAUAACCUACCUAUAAGACUGGGAUAACUUCGAGAAACAGGAGCUAAUACUGGAGAAUAUUUUGUACCGCAUGGUUCAAAAGUUCAAGACGGUUUUGCUGUCACUUAUAGACGGUUCCGCGCUGCAUUAGCUAGUUGGUAAGGUAACGGCUCACCAAGGCAACGAUGCGUAGCCGACCUGAGAGGGUGAUCGGCCACACUGGAACUGAGACACGGUCCAGACUCCUACGGGAGGCAGCAGUAGGGAAUAUUCCGCAAUGGGCGAAAGCCUGACGGAGCAACGCCGCGUGAGUGAUGAAGGUCUUCGGAUCGUAAAGCUCUGUUAUUAGGGAAGAACAUAUGUGUAAGUAACUGUGCACAUCUUGACGGUACCUAAUCAGAAAGCCACGGCUAACUACGUG
rnacentral:rRNA from 1 species